AAAUUCACAACAAUAAUGGAAAUUAGAUAUUAUAUAUGUAUAUAUUGAUUUAUACAUCAUUAGACGUGUACUAGCUGCCUUGGUUUGUUUGGAAAUUGGAUAUAUAAAUGUCCUUAUAACUUAUGAAAAAAAAAACAAGGAACAUAAACAAUUUAACACAAACAUGAUAUAUUGAUGAAUUAUGCAAUGGUAUACCGGUACCUUCUAUUUCUAAACAGAAAAACAAGAUUGAUGAAUUAGAAGAUCACAGCUUCGACCAUCAACAUUGUCCAGAGCAACAUGCCUAUUCAGAUUUCCUGACUCCUAAGUAUCUUUUGAGUUGUGAAUCAUACAAUGGAGCACCUUCAACGCAGACUUUUGGAAUACCUCUGGGAUAUUUGGACUUGACCCGGCCCCAUUGCCACUUUUUUCUCUACCUAGUUUGUUUAGGCAGACAAACCUAGGUUUGUUAAGGUUGAUUUGAAAUAAUCUGUCGACAGCUUGCAGAGGCAACAAACUACAGAAAAGGAUGAACAAUAUUACACAUCUGAGCUUGAAUAUUAUAAUGAUGUACAAAGGGAGUUGAAGCAAACAAAGAGAUCUUUGUUCCUUUGAGAAGUAGUUAGGCGAGAGUGUAAAUGUUUAAAGAAUUGUUAUUUGUAUAUUUUAUAUUGACCCUUUAGA